AAAACUUGAGUUUCACAAAAUACCUCCCUUGCAUGGAGGAGAUACACUGGUAGAUAACAUCCAGUUUAAGUUUUA
rnacentral:tRNA from 1 species